GCGGGCGUGGCGGAAUUGGUAGACGCAGUGGAUUCAAAAUCCACCGGUGGCAACACCUUGGGAGUUCGAGUCUCCCCGCCCGCACCA
rnacentral:tRNA from 1 species